GGCGCAAACUUGGAGUGGAGUAGAUUAAUAUGGUCAGCUGACCCUAAUAGUCUACUCUACUUCAAAUUCGGGCCC
rfam:Haemonchus placei strain MHpl1 genome assembly, scaffold: HPLM_scaffold0003336